rnacentral:rRNA from 1 species
UGCGUAGGGUGCGAGCGUUACUCGGAAUUACUGGGCGUAAAGCGUGCGCAGGCGGUGAUGUAAGACAGAUGUGAAAUCCCCGGGCUCAACCUGGGAACUGCAUUUGUGACUGCAUCGCUGGAGUGCGGCAGAGGGGGAUGGAAUUCCGCGUGUAGCAGUGAAAUGCGUAGAUAUGCGGAGGAACACCGAUGGCGAAGGCAAUCCCCUGGGCCUGCACUGACGCUCAUGCACGAAAGCGUGGGGAGCGAACAGG